GGGGGGGGGGGGGGGGGGGGGGGGGGGGGGGGGGGGGGGGGGGGGGGGGGGGGGGGGGGGCGCGGGGGGGCGGAGGGCGGGGGGACGUGCCCGGGUGUGCGGACGAACUACCGGAAAGGGGUGCUAAUACCGGAUAAUGUCUUCUGACCAAAGAUUUAUCGACUUUGGAUGUGCCCGCGUUGGAUUCGCUAGUUGGUAGGGUAAAAGCCUCCCAAGACGACGAUCCAUAGCUGGUCUGAGUGGAUGAUCAGCCACACUGGGACUGAGACACGGCCCAGACUCCUACGGGAGGCAGCAGUGGGGAAUAUUGGACAAUGGGCGAAAGCCUGAUCCAGCAAUGCCGCGUGAGUGAUGAAGGCCUUAGGGUUGUAAAGCUCUUUUACCCGGGAUGAUAAUGACAGUACCGGGAGAAUAAGCUCCGGCUAACUCCGUG
rnacentral:rRNA from 1 species